AGAAUCAACGCUGGCGGCGUGCCUAACACAUGCAAGUCGAACGGGAAAGUGGAGCAAUCCAUGAGUAUAGUGGCGACCGGGUGAGUAACACGUGACUACCUACCCUUGAGUGGGGGAUAACCUCGGGAAAACCGAGGCUAAUACCGCAUAAUAUCGAAAGAUCAAAGGAGUAAUCCGCUUUUGGAGGGGUCGCGGCUGAUUAGCUAGUUGGUAAGGUAAUGGCUUACCAAGGCGAAGAUCGGUA
rnacentral:rRNA from 1 species